ACUUGUUGGUCGAUUAAGUGCCUACCGUGCUUACUAAGGAUAACGGGGAAUCGAGGUUCGAUUCCGGAGAGAGGGCAUGCGAAACGGCUACCACAUACAAGGAAGGCAGCAGGCGCGCAAAUUACCCACUCUCGGCACGGGGAGGUAUUGACGAAAAAUAACGACGCGGGACUCUGUCGAGGCCCCGUGAUCGGAAUGAGUACACUUCAAAUCCGUUAACGAGGAUCAACCGGAGGGCAAGUCUGGUGCCAGCAGCCGCUGUAAUUCCAGCUCCGGUAGCGUAUAUUAAAGUUGUUGCGGUUAAAAAGCUCGUAGUCCGAACUCGGGUUCGUGGUCGCGUUCGCGGCCCCGGGGUGGCGGCGCCAUCGUCCGUCAUUAACUUUGGUCGUCCGUGAACAUUCCUGGCCCUUUCCGACAGUGUCAACCACUUGCACAUCCACCACGCGGUCCUGUCGGCGAAAUUACGCGGGGGAGUAGUAGGUGUUGCUGUCGUCAUCUAAAAGGAGGUCGCGUUGUCUUAGCUCUGUCUCGCCGUUGCGUUCUCCCCUGCCGCCGUUCGGUAGCCUCCUCCUCUCACCUCUCCAGUUUUGUCGCAGCUCUACUAUACCUACCUACCUACGCGUCAAUCUUCGUGUCCGUUUUAUGCGCGUGCGUGGUCGGUGGUUUCUCCUCCAAGGGUGCUCUUGACCGAGUGUCCGCGGCGGCCGGUACGUUCACUUUGAAAAAAUUAGAGUGCUCAAAGCGGGCUGUUCAAGCUUGCAUACGAUAAGCAUGGAAUGAUGGAAGAGGGCCUCGUCUACGUCUGUCGGUCUCCGUCUACGGCGAGGCAAUGAUCGAAGGGAGCGGUCGGGGCCACUCGUAUUGCGACGUUAGAGGUGAAAUUCUUGGAUCGUCGCAAGACGAACUGCAGCGAUGGCGUGUGGCAAGCACGUUUUGCUCGAUCAAGAGCGAAAGUCGGAGGUUGGAAGACGAUCAGAUACCGUCGUAGCUCCGGUCGUAAACGAUGCCGACCGGCGAUCUGCCGAUGUUCGCUUCCAUGACUCCGCAGGUAGCCUGCGGGAAUCCAGAGUUCGGUUCCGAGGGGAGUAUGUUGAAAAGCUGAAACUUAAAGGAUCUGAUGGAAAGGCACCAUCAGGAGGGGAGCCUGCAGCUUAAUUU